CCUGAAAUUUCUUAAACCCUGGGCCAUUUGUUUCCAGUGGGAGUCAUUUCAACGUAACACAAAACACCGGAUUAGCCGAUAGCAGAAGC